AAUCAACGCUGGCGGCGUGCCUCAGACAUGCAAGUCGAACGAUUAAAGCUCUCUUCGGAGAGUGCAUAGAGUGGCGCACGGGUGAGUAACACGUAAGUAAUCUACCUUCGAGUGGGGAAUAACGUCCGGAAACGGACGCUAAUACCGCAUAAUGCAGCGGCAUCGCAAGAUGACAGUUGUUAAAGGAGCAAUUCGCUUGAAGAGGAGCUUGCGGCAGAUUAGCUAGUUGGUAAGGUAAUGGCUUACCAAGGCUACGAUCUGUAACCGGUCUAAGAGGACGGUCGGUCACACUGACACUGAAUAACGGGUCAGACUCCUACGGGAGGCAGCAGUCGGGAAUUUUGGGCAAUGGGCGAAAGCCUGACCCAGCAACGCCGCGUGAAGGAUGAAGUAUUUCGGUAUGUAAACUU
rnacentral:rRNA from 1 species